rnacentral:rRNA from 1 species
GGGAGAGAGUCGACUUGCAGGUGUGAGCCUUGAGCAAGUUAGCUGUCCGCGAGCUAACGCGAUAAAUCGACCGCCUGGGGAGUACGGCCGCAAGGUUAAAACUCAAAUGAAUUGACGGGGGCCCGCACAAGCGGUGGAGCAUGUGGUUUAAUUCGAUGCAACGCGAAGAACCUUACCUAGUCUUGACAUCCAGAGAACUUUCCAGAGAUGGAUUGGUGCCUUCGGGAACUCUGACACAGGUGCUGCAUGGCUGUCGUCAGCUCGUGUUGUGAAAUGUUGGGUUAAGUCCCGCAACGAGCGCAACCCUUAUCCUUUGUUGCCAGCGCUUCGGGCGGGAACUCUAAGGAGACUGCCGGUGAUAAACCGGAGGAAGGUGGGGAUGACGUCAAGUCAUCAUGGCCCUUACGAAUAGGGCUACACACGUGCUACAAUGGUCUAUACAAAGGGAAGCCAACUCGCGAGGAGGAGCGGAACUCAUAAAAUCCAUCGUAGUCCGGAUUGGAGUCUGCAACUCGACUGCAUGAAGUCGGAAUCGCUAGUAAUCGUGAAUCAGAAUGUCACGGUGAAUACGUUCCCGGGCCUUGUACACACCGCCCGUCACACCAUGGGAGUGGGUUGCAACAGAAGUAGGUAGCCUAACCUUCAGGAGGGCGGCUUACCACUGUUGUGAUUCAUGACUGGGGUGAGUCGUACAGUUAACCGUAAGCUGGUUUACCCCCCACCCUUUCGCACCUGAAGCGGCGGUCUAUUCCAAGGGGUCACUUCG